rnacentral:rRNA from 1 species
GUUUGAUCCUGGCUCAGAUUGAACSCUGGCGGCAUGCUUUACACAUGCAAGUCGAACGGUAACAGGGUGCUUGCACCGCUGACGAGUGGCGAACGGGUGAGUAAUGCGUCGGAACGUGCCGAGUAGUGGGGGAUAACGCAGCGAAAGUUGUGCUAAUACCGCAUACGUACUGAGGUAGAAAGUGGGGGACCUUCGGGCCUCACGCUAUUCGAGCGGCCGACGUCUGAUUAGCUAGUAGGUGAGGUAAAGGCUCACCUAGGCGACGAUCAGUAGCGGGUCUGAGAGGAUGAUCCGCCACACUGGGACUGAGACACGGCCCAGACUCCUACGGGAGGCAGCAGUGGGGAAUUUUGGACAAUGGGCGAAAGCCUGAUCCAGCCAUGCCGCGUGUCUGAAGAAGGCCUUCGGGUUGUAAAGGACUUUUGUCAGGGAGGAAAUCCCUAGUGCUAAUAACACUGGGGGAUGACAGUACCUGAAGAAUAAGCACCGGCUAACUACGUGCCAGCAGCCGCGGUAAUACGUAGGGUGCGAGCGUUAAUCGGAAUUACUGGGCGUAAAGCGUGCGCAGGCGGUUUGAUAAGCCAGAUGUGAAAUCCCCGAGCUCAACUUGGGAACUGCGUUUGGAACUGUCAGACUAGAGUGCGUCAGAGGGGGGUGGAAUUCCGCGUGUAGCAGUGAAAUGCGUAGAGAUGCGGAGGAACACCGAUGGCGAAAGCAGCCCCCUGGGAUGACACUGACGCUCAUGCACGAAAGCGUGGGGAG